rnacentral:rRNA from 1 species
UAGGGAAUCUUCCGCAAUGGGCGAAAGCCUGACGGAGCAACGCCGCGUGAGUGAUGAAGGUCUUCGGAUCGUAAAACUCUGUUAUUAGGGAAGAACAUACGUGUAAGUAACUGUGCACGUCUUGACGGUACCUAAUCAGAAAGCCACGGCUAACUACGUGCCAGCAGCCGCGGUAAUACGUAGGUGGCAAGCGUUAUCCGGAAUUAUUGGGCGUAAAGCGCGCGUAGGCGGUUUUUUAAGUCUGAUGUGAAAGCCCACGGCUCAACCGUGGAGGGUCAUUGGAAACUGGAAAACUUGAGUGCAGAAGAGGAAAGUGGAAUUCCAUGUGUAGCGGUGAAAUGCGCAGAGAUAUGGAGGAACACCAGUGGCGAAGGCGACUUUCUGGUCUGUAACUGACGCUGAUGUGCGAAAGCGUGGGGAUCAAACAGGAUUAGAUACCCUGGUAGUCCACGCCGUAAACGAUGAGUGCUAAGUGUUAGGGGGUUUCCGCCCCUUAGUGCUGCAGCUAACGCAUUAAGCACUCCGCCUGGGGAGUACGACCGCAAGGUUG